rnacentral:pre_miRNA from 1 species
UAUAAUAUUUUGACUCUUCGUCUUAUUUAAAAUUUUUUUGCGAUUAAUAUUUUUAUUUUUACUAGAUGAUACAAUAUGAAUACUUUAUGCGUGACUAAUUUUUUUAAAAUUUUUUACAAAUUUUAUAAAUAAGACAAAUGAUCAAAUGUUCGGCACGAAAA